rnacentral:tRNA from 1 species
AAAACUUUAAGUUAAUCAAACUCUCAAUCUUCAAAAUUGAAUUUAUAAAAUUUUUAUAAGUUUUA